rnacentral:misc_RNA from 1 species
GAUGAAGAACGCAGCGAAAUGCGAUAAGUAAUGUGAAUUGCAGAAUUCAGUGAAUCAUCGAAUCUUUGAACGCACAUUGCGCCCGCCAGUAUUCUGGCGGGCAUGCCUGUUCGAGCGUCAUUUCAACCAUCAAGCCCCCGGCUUGUGUUGGGGACCUGCGGCUGCCGCAGGCCCUGAAAACCAGUGGCGGGCUCGCUAGUCACUCCGAGCGUAGUAGUUAUAUCUCGCUCAGGGCGUGCUGCGGGUUCCGGCCGUUAAAAGCCUUAUUUACCCAAGGUUGACCUCGGAUCAGGUAGGAAGACCCGCUGAACUUAAGCAUAUCAAUAAGCGGAGGA